rnacentral:misc_RNA from 1 species
AUUUGCAAUAUGUUGACAAUGUUGAAAAGAAAUUCGGAAAGAGACAACAGGUCAUACGUACAAGACAUAUAACUGUAAGCAACUUGUGUAAUAGAACUGUAAGAUACAUCAAUUCUAUUCACAGAGAGUAUUUCAAGUCAAGCACUGAAAUGAACCCGCUUUUUGUCAAUGGGCUACGUUACCUAACAAGCUGUUUGCAGAAGGUGAGCUCUGUUCACUUAACCAAGGAUCUUGCACAGAAACCGGGGUCCUUCACUUCC